AACUGAUCACUGGUUGCAUAUUUUCGUCAAAAAUACCAGAAAAUCCGAUGAGACCCGCUCAACUUAAUUUGAAAUGAUUGGCUAUUCAACCGAAUACACAGUGCCAUAUUUGGGUUACUAUUAAAAGUAGAUCGUUCUUUUUGUAUUCGAGAAGACUUGGAUGAAGAGGAUUACACAAUACUGAGGUGGAAACAUCUGUAUAAUACGAUAAUAUAUAAUUCAGUAUUUUAAAGUAAAGGUUGUCAAAUGAACGGGACAUAUUACUGAUAUUACCUCUUAUAAACAAAACUAAUAAGCGUAUGACUUAUUCAGGGCACUUGCAAUGUAUGGGAACCAGUCUACAAGGCUACAAAAUUCCGCCAAGAAUAAACAAAGACUGAAAGAGAUUGCGGGAUGUUGUUUACGUGUGUCACUCGACACUGACUGCAAGAAACAAAGAGUGGAGAACUAAUGCAUGGUGCUAAGUAUGGAGAGGUCUCUUGUGGAUUGGUUGUGCCAGAGACAAAUGUACAUUAUUUCCAUGUUGGGUCAGAAGUCUCGGUACACUUUGGGUGAGUGGCAGUUGGGAAGAUGGAUGACCUUCAGAUAGUUUGAGAUGAAGAAGUUUUUUUCAAAUGAUUGAAAGUGAUCAUCACAGAAUCAACUCCAUUUUGAAGAUAAAUUACAAGCAAGUCAGCACUUCUUUUGUCCAACACCUGAGAGAUCUGAGUACCCAGCCUACUGUUGAAUUAAUUAGUGACCAAGAAAAGAUGACAGAGAGGGGAAUCAAAUGUGGAUGCCAUCUUGAUCAAGAAUAUAUACACUGACUAGAAAAUAUCUGAAAAUAUAUAGAUGAACAUUCAAGCAUUUAUAAUAAUGAAAGUUAUUCAGCAAGAGAGUUUUUGCACAAGUUUAAUUUUCAGUAAAAUUAUGUAUAUUGUGCACUGAGGAACUUGGUAUGUAACUCAUUAUGAUUAUCCAUUUCUUUAGAGGAUUUAUUUGGAGUAUACUUAAAUAAUCAUUAUCUUCUAGAAAAGACAACACAAAACUUUUCUCUCUGUGUGAAACAUGACACGUUUGCAUACACUCCAGCAUUUACCACAACCACAGUUACAUAUUUUCCAGGGCGUGUGAAGUCGAGCACAUACAUGAAAAUGUGUGAAGCUGGACACAUAUGCAAACACACAAGCAUCUAUCACAACCAAUUACAUAUUUUCCAAGGUGUGUGAAGUCGAGCACAUACAUGAAAAUGUGUGAAGCUGGACACAUAUGCAAACACACAAGCAUCUAUCACAACCAAUUACAUAUUUUCCAAGGCGUGUGAAGUCGAGCACAUACAUGAAAAUGUGUGAAGCUGGACACAUAUGCAAACACACAAGCAUCUAUCACAACCAAAUACAUAUUUUCCAGGGCGUGUGAAGUCGAGCACAUACAUGAAAAUGUGUGAAGCUGGACACAUAUGCAAACACACAAGCAUCUAUCACAACCAAUUACAUAUUUUCCAAGGCGUGUGAAGUCGAGCACAUACAUGAAAAUGUGUGAAGCUGGACACAUAUGCAAACACACAAGCAUCUAUCACAACCAAUUACAUAUUUUCCAAGGCGUGUGAAGUCGAGCACAUAUGUGAAAAUGUGUGAAGCUGGACACAUAUGCAAACACACAAGCAUCUAUCACAACCAAUUACAUAUUUUCCAAGGCGUGUGAAGUCGAGCACAUACAUGAAAAUGUGUGAAGCUGGACACAUAUGCAAACACACAAGCAUCUAUCACAACCAAUUACAUAUUUUCCAGGGCAUGUGAAGUCGAGCACAUACGUGAAAAUGUGUGAAGCUGGACACAUAUGCAAACACACAAGCAUCUAUCACAACCAAUUACAUAUUUUCCAAGGCGUGUGAAGUCGAGCACAUACAUGAAAAUGUGUGAAGCUGGACACAUAUGCAAACACUCAAGCAUCUAUCACAACCAAUUACAUAUUUUCCAGGGCAUGUGAAGUCGAGCACAUACGUGAAAAUGUGUGAAGCUGGACACAUAUGCAAACACACAAGCAUCUAUCACAACCAAUUACAUAUUUUCCAAGGCGUGUGAAGUCGAGCACAUACAUGAAAAUGUGUGAAGCUGGACACAUAUGCAAACACUCAAGCAUCUACCACUAGUUACAUAUUUUCCAAGGCGUGUGAAGAUGAACACGUAUGCAAACAUAAUCUCCUACCACAGACACAAUACACGUAACAUUUAGUCCAAGUAUAAAGUCAAGCUCAAACAGGCUCACUGCGUCAAGCUGGACACACGCAUUUACUUAUUCAUCUUGCAAAACUACAUCUGAACCUAUAUUCUAAUAGGCGUUUAAGCAAUUUUGUUUAUUUUGUGAAUAUGUAAAUUGCACCAUUAUGCUUACAAGAUGUCAACAUUAUUAACCUGUACAUAAAUACUCAUUAGAUAGCCUUUAAUAGUUUAAGCUGGAAAUGCUAGUACUUUGCCUGAUUUAUGUUGUGUAGUUACUCGUCAGUGAUCUUGAGUAAUAACUGAGUAUGGCAUUUUUAGUUCCAUUUAAACUGCAAAGUUUUAACACAUGUACAUCCACCAUAAAGGAUAAAUAAUAUUGUAUUGUAUUUUAACCUUUUUAAUUUUAUUCUUUGUCAUUUUAUUGCCUGUUCAAGUAAAAGAUGUAAUCUUGUAA